UCUUCCGUAGUAUAGUGGUCAGUAUGUGAGCUUGUCAUCCAUCAGGGUCGACGUCGCUCGAGACCCGGGUUCAAUUCCCGGCGGGAGAG